AGAAUAGCCAUUUCUUUUCCUCAUGUCAAUGUGUGAACUCAUAUCACCCCCACACUCAGGGCAUUUCAAAAUGUCAUUAAAUACUCCAAAUAGUUGGGAUAAGUCCAUAAAAAUUGUGCCUUCUUUUAAAAUAGUAUCCUUAUUAGGCAAAAUACCACCAAACAUUGCAGUAUUUUGGCCAAUUUUCUUCGCAGAAGGGCCAGGGUCUUUGUAACUUCGUCCGCCAUCUUGGAUUUUUUUCUUAGACUUAUUUGGUGGAAUCCUCGCCUUUUUUCUCGUUCUAUUUCUAGUAUUCCCCAUUUAUUUACCCUG